AAUGGACGAAAGUCUGACCGAGCAACGCCGCGUGAGUGAAGAAGGUUUUCGGAUCGUAAAACUCUGUUGUUAGAGAAGAAUAAGGAUGAGAGUAAAAAGUUCAUCCCUUGACGGUAUCUAACCAGAAAGCCACGGCUAACUACGUGCCAGCAGCCGCGGUAAUACGUAGGUGGCAAGCGUUGUCCGGAUUUAUUGGGCGUAAAGCGAGCGCAGGCGGUUUCUUAAGUCUGAUGUGAAAGCCCCCGGCUUAACCGGGGAGGGUCAUUGGAAACUGAGGAACUUGAGUGCAGAAGAGGAGAGUGGAAUUCCAUGUGUAGCGGUGAAAUGCGUAGAUAUAUGGAGGAACACCAGUGGCGAAGGCGACUCUCUGGUCUGUAACUGACGCUGAGGCUCGAAAGCGUGGGGAGCAAA
rnacentral:rRNA from 1 species